UACGUAGGGUGCAAGCGUUAAUCGGAAUUACUGGGCGUAAGCGUGCGCAGGCGGUGAUGUAAGACAGGUGUGAAAUCCCCGGGCUUAACCUGGGAACUGCAUUUGUGACUGCAUCGCUGGAGUGCGGCAGAGGGGGAUGGAAUUCCGCGUGUAGCAGUGAAAUGCGUAGAUAUGCGGAGGAACACCGAUGGCGAAGGCAAUCCCCUGGGCCUGCACUGACGCUCAUGCACGAAAGCGUGGGGAGCAAACAGG
rnacentral:rRNA from 1 species